UACGGGGGGAGCAAGCGUUGUUCGGAUUUACUGGGCGUAAAGGGCGCGUAGGCGGCCACUGCAAGUCGGUUGUGAAAUCUCCGGGCUUAACCCGGAAAGGUCAAUCGAUACUGCAGGGCUAGAGUACGGUAGAGGAGAGUGGAAUUCCCGGUGUAGCAGUGAAAUGCGUAGAGAUCGGGAGGAACAUCAGUUGCGAAGGUGGCUCUCUGGACCAGUACUGACGCUGAGGCACGAAAGCGUGGGGAGCAAACAGG
rnacentral:rRNA from 1 species